rnacentral:lncRNA from 1 species
AAUAAACAAGAAUAAAUGUUUGAUAUUAAACACAUAAACAUUUCACAUGAAUGUAAAUAUGGACUCCGAAGAUGAACUUCUAAGAAUUUGGAUACUCCUCAUGAUUUUGUUCUAUCCUAUUUUAUCCUAUCUUUUGGUGUACUCCCCCUAAGUACAUGCUCCUAGAUGUUGACGUGUCUACUCUCUUUCUCUCCUUUAUUUGAUAAACAUCAAAAGGGAAGGAGAGAAAGGACAUCACAACCCGAUGGAGGUGAGGGAAGAUAAGGAGAGAAAGGGUCAUGAAGGGAUAGGACGACAUGAGGAUUAAUGGAAUUGAAUGAAAAGACAAAAGGAAGAAGAAGUUAAGGAAAAAGAGGGAAAGGUGAGAGGGGGGUAUUGGUAGUUGGGUAAGGUAGGGUUUAGUCGUGAAGAAGGUGGGUUAGAUUGAAGAACUACUUGCGUAAGGCAAGUAAGUUUUGAAUACAGGAAUAGGAAAGGGUGUUGGAUUAUCAUAUUCAUCUUGGUCCAAUGAUCGAAUGAGAUGAUGAUGACAGUUUGGAGGUUUGGAAGAAGGCUUAAUUGGUUUGGAAUGGUGAAAGUUUGAGAGAUAAAAAAUUUAGGAGACAUGAAGGCAAAAGAGAAGGAAAUUUAGGGUUUUCGAAAGACUGUGUUGAGAAUGUGAAGAGUAGAGUCGAGUUAAGUAGAGGGGAAAAGUUAGUCAUCUAAUGUUUAGUCAUCCUCCACCAAACAUCCCUCAAACUUUGGCUAGGGAUAUCACCAGUGUUGCAACUCAGUUUGAAAUCAACUCCUACGAAGAAAUUGUUUGCAAAUUGCAAUCCAAUCUUCUCAAAGCAUAGCAGGCCAUGAAAC